rnacentral:tRNA from 1 species
AAGGGGUGAGCAUUAGGGAGUUUUGUGCAAUUAGCUUGAAACUAAGAGGAGGGGGUUCGAGUCCCCCACCCUUUG